rnacentral:misc_RNA from 1 species
CAUGGCGGAGAAGGUGGGCACCUGGUAACCCCUAGGUGUGAUGCCUUCACGCAUUCUACCCUUGUCUAUUUGCACCUUUGUCGUUCCCUCGGUGGGUCUUGUACCUACCGGCGGCAACUUUCAAAACCUCUUGCAGUUAGUAUCUAAUUCUUCUGAUCAAAAAUAUCAAUCGUUA